rnacentral:rRNA from 1 species
CAUAUCGAGGGACGGAGAAGGCUACAUCAGCCGGAUGUUGGUUACCGGUUUAAGCGCCUAAGACGUUGAUAAGUGGAGAAAACACUUUGAGUUAAAGCGUGAAUACGAAAUGCUACGGCAUUGAAGUGAUCUAUGCCAGGCUUCCAAGAAAAUCUCGUCAUAUCUUAAGCAGUAGAUGCCUGUACCUUAAACCGACACAGGUAGGUAGGUAGAGUAUACCAAGGGGCGCGAGAUAACUCUCUCUAAGGAACUCGGCAAAAUAACCUCGUAACUUCGGAAGAAGAGGUACCCUUGAAAAAGGGUUGCAAUAACCAGACCCUGGCGACUGUUUACCAAAAACACAGGUCUCCGCUAAUUCGUAAGAUCAAGUAUGGAGGCUGACGCCUGCCCAGUGCCGGAAGGUUAAAGAAGUUGGUCAAUCUUUGGAUGAAGCUGGCGACUGAAGCCCCGGUGAACGGCGGCCGUAACUAUAACGGUCCUAAGGUAGCGAAGUUCCUUGUCGGGUAAGUUCCGACCCGCACGAAAGGCGUAACGAUCAGGGUGCUGUCUCGGAGAGAGACUCGGCGAAAUAGACAUGUCUGUGAAGAUGCGGACUACCUGCACCUGGACAGAAAGACCCUAUGAAGCUUUACUGUAUCUUGGAAUUGGGUUUGGGCCUUGCUUGCGCAGGAUAGGUGGGAGGCUGUGAAGAUAUUCUUGCGGGAAUGUUGGAGCCAACGGUGAGAUACCACUCUAGUAAGGCUAAAAUUCUAACUCUGAACCGUUAUCCGGUCAGAGAACAGUUUCAGGUGGGCAGUUUGACUGGGGCGGUUGCCUCCUAAAAGGUAACGGAGGCGCGCAAAGGUUCCCUCAGGCUGGUUGGACAUCAGUCGUAGAGUGUAAAGGCAUAAGGGAGCUUGACUGCGAGACCCACAAGUCGAGCAGAGACGAAAGUCGGCCUUAGUGAUCCGACGGUUCCACGUGGAAGGGCCGUCGCUCAACGGAUAAAAGUUACUCUAGGAUAACAGGCUGAUCUCCCCCAAGAGUUCACAUCGACGGGGAGGUUUGGCACCUCGAUGUCGGCUCAUCGCAUCCUGGGGCGGUAGUACGUCCCAAGGGUUGGGCUGUUCGCCCAUGAAAGCGGUACGCGAGCUGGGUUCAGAACGUCGUGAGACAGUUCGGUCCAUAUCCGGUGCAGGCGUUAGAGCAUUGAGAGGAGUCCCCCUUAUUACGAGAGGACCGGGGGGAAUACACCGCUGGUGUACCAGUUAUCGUGCCAACGGUAAACGCUGGGUAGCCAUGUGUAGCGCGGAUAACUGCUGAAAGCAUCUAAGUAGGAAGCCCACCUUAAGAUGAGUGCUCUCACCGCUAUAAGCGGGUAAGGUCACGGUAAGAACAACCGUUAUAUAGGCAUUAAGUAUACGUGCAGUAAUGCAUUUAGCUGAGAUGUACUAACAGACCGUGGGCUUGAC